rnacentral:rRNA from 1 species
AAGUCGUAACAAGGUUUCCGUAGGUAUAGGUUUGCCUACCGAAGCCCUUAGCCAGCGACUCUAAAGAAAUCAGCUAUAAGUCGCCCCUCCGGGGGCUGGCGACGCCAUCAAUCUGUGUCUGGGAGUGCUCCCCACAAGGGGAGUAUCACCGGCAGCUCGUUCUAUCCGAGUUCACAGGUCAAACGAUAGCGGCCACUUCGGUGGUUAAGAUAUGAUCGGCCCCCGGCUAUCACCUAGCUAGGGAGGUUUGCGGAACCUGCGGAAGGAUCAUUAUUGAGUUCGGGGGCCUAGCCCUCAGCGAUGGGUGUCGUAUCGAGUCCAUCUGGGCUCGAGCCGGCAUUCGUCGCGUCUCUCAACCCCAUGUUUACCAUACCUUUGUUGCUUUGGCGGGUCUUGAGUAGGCUUCACGGCUCAUGCCAGCCCUAGCCUUCAUUACCUAGGGAUGGCUCGCGCCCGCCAGAGGUUUAUUUAAAAAUCCUAAAUAUUAGUGAUGUCUGAGCAAAUAUUAAAUAAUCAAAACUUUCAACAACGGAUCUCUUGGUUCUGGCAUCGAUGAAGAACGCAGCGAAAUGCGAUAAGUAAUGUGAAUUGCAGAAUUCAGUGAAUCAUCGAAUCUUUGAACGCACAUUGCGCCCCUCGGUAUUCCGGGGGGCAUGCCUGUUCGAGCGUCAUUACACCCCUCAAGCGUAGCUUGGUAUUGAACUUUCGCGGGCCUUUUAUAGGGGGCUCGCGGGUCGAAAAGCAGUGCGGUCCCCGAGGAUUCGCGCGUAGUAAAUAUUAUCCCGCGUUGGAAAGAAUCGAAAGGGCCUUGCCAAAACCCCCCCCCAUAAUCUCCAUAAAUUGACCUCGGAUCAGGUAGGGAUACCCGCUGAACUUAAGCAUAUCAAUAAGCGGAGGAAAAGAAACCAACAGGGAUUGCCUUAGUAACGGCGAGUGAAGCGGCAACAGCUCAAAUUUGAAAUCUGGUCCUUUCAGGGCCCGAGUUGUAAUUUGUAGAGGAUGUUUCGGGUGCGGCGCGGGUCUAAGUCCUUUGGAACAGGGCGUCAUAGAGGGUGAGAAUCCCGUAUGUGACCCGUGAUCAAGUCCAUGUGAAACCCCUUCGACGAGUCGAGUUGUUUGGGAAUGCAGCUCAAAAUGGGUGGUAAAUUUCAUCUAAAGCUAAAUACCGGCCAGAGACCGAUAGCGCACAAGUAGAGUGAUCGAAAGAUGAAAAGCACUUUGGAAAGAGAGUCAAAAAGUACGUGAAAUUGUUGAAAGGGAAGCGCUUGCAACCAGACCUGUCCGCAGGCGAUCAACCCUCGUUCUCGGGGGUGCACUCGUCUGCGAUCAGGCCAGCAUCGGUUCGGGCGGUCGGAUAAAGGCCUUGGGAAUGUAGCUCCUUCCGGGGAGUCUUAUAGCCCUCGGUGCAAUGCGGCCAGCCCGGACCGAGGACCGCGCCUUCGGGCUAGGAUGCUGGCGUAAUGGUUGUAAGCGACC